CAUAUCCGUUAUUGAAGCACCAACUAACAAAAACUUCAGGUAGUGCCAAACAGUUUUCAGUACAUUAUAUUAUUGUGCUUUCAUGGCUCCACCGCAAUCAUUGGUGUUCACUGUGAGGCGGAGGGCGGCGGAGCUUGUUUCUCCGGCGGGGCCGACGCCUGGCGGGGUAAGGUAUCUGUCCGACAUUGACGACCAGGAGGGGCUGAGGUUUCAGAUUCCGGUCAUACAGUUCUACCGGAACGAUCCCGCCAUGAAGGGGAGGGACCCCGUGAAGGUUAUCCGGGAGGCGGUGGCGAGGACCCUGGUGUUUUACUACCCCUUCGCCGGCCGGCUCCGGGAGGGGCGUGGCCGGAAACUCAUGGUGGAUUGCACCGGGGAGGGGGUUAUGUUCAUUGAGGCCGACGCUGACGUCACGCUGGUGGAGUUUGGUGACGCACUACAGCCUCCGUUUCCAUGCUUGGAGGAGCUUCUUUAUGAUGUUCCUGGAUCCGGAGAAGUUCUCAAUUGCCCUUUGAUUCUUAUUCAGGUUACUCGGCUGAAAUGCGGUGGCUACAUAGUGGCAUUGCGUCUGAAUCACACUAUGAGCGAUGCCCCAGGUCUUGUCCAAUUCAUGAACGCCGUAGCGGAGGUGGCGCGUGGCGCGAGUGGGCCGUCAGUGCAGCCGGUGUGGCAAAGGGAAGUGCUGAAUGCCAGGGACCCACCCCGGGUCACAUGCACGCACCACGAGUACGAUGAAGUGCCGGAUUCCAAGGGGACAAUUAUACCAUUAGACGACAUGGUCCAUCGCUCUUUCUUCUUCGGACCGUCGGAGGUUGCCGCUCUCCGGCGGAUCCUCCCCUCCCACUUACGCAAGUGCUCCACUUUCGAGCUGCUAACGGCGUGCCUAUGGCGCUGCCGGACCACCGCCCUCCGCCCCGACCCGGAGGAGGAGGUGCGCGUGCUCUGCAUCGUGAACGCGCGGCCGCGGUUUAACCCUCCGCUCCCGGAGGGGUACUACGGCAACGCGUUCGCCUUCCCGGUGGCGCUAACCACCGCCGAGAAACUGACCAAAAAUCCCCUGGGAUACGCGCUGGAGCUGGUGAAGAAGACCAAAGCCGACGUCACGGAAGAUUACAUGAAGUCCGUGGCGGACCUUAUGGUCCUCAAGGGACGCCCGCAUUUCACGGUGGUCCGGACUUAUCUCGUCUCCGACGUGACCCGAGCCGGAUUCGGCGACGUGGAUUUCGGGUGGGGCAAGGCGGCGUACGGCGGCCCCGCUAAAGGAGGAGUCGGCGCCAUCCCCGGCGUUGCAAGCUUCUACAUACCGUUUAGGAACAAGAAAGGAGAAAAUGGAAUCGUGAUUCCAGUUUGUUUGCCGGCGUUCGCCAUGGAAACGUUCGUGAAGGAGCUUGAUAGAAUGAUAAAGGGAGAAGGCGAAUUCAUCAACGAUGAUAGUUACGCUUUCAUCAAAUCUGCCCUUUGAUUCAUUGUAGAGCUAAAUUGAAUGUUUGUGUAGAACUAUAAGUCCUAUCCAUUUGAGUAUGUAACUUUUAUUGUAUACUUGGUCUAAAAAUGUGUAUCUGUACUUGUAAGUCAAAUUCGGUUUUUGGUACGAGUAGUAGACGGUUUGUACUUUGUACAAAUAUAUAUAUGCUG